CCUACGGGAGGCAGCAGUGAGGAAUAUUGGUCAAUGGACGAGAGUCUGAACCAGCCAAGUAGCGUGAAAGAUGACUGCCCUAUGGGUUGUAAACUUCUUUUAUAAAGGAAUAAAACGAGGCACGUGUUCCUUUUUGCAUGUACUUUAUGAAUAAGGAUCGGCUAACUCCGUGCCAGCAGCCGCGGUAAUACGGAGGAUCCGAGCGUUAUCCGGAUUUAUUGGGUUUAAAGGGGGCGUAGAUGGGUUGUUAAGUCAGUUGUGAAAGUUUGUGGCUCAACCAUAAAAUUGCAGUUGAUACUGGGAGUCUUGAGUAUAUUUGAGGUAGGCGGAAUGCGGGGUGUAGCGGUGAAAUGCUUAGAUAUCACGAAGAACCCCGAUUGCGAAGGCAGCUUACUAAACUAUGACUGACAUUGAUGCACGAAAGUGUGGGGAUCAAACAGGAUUAGAUACCCUAGUAGUC
rnacentral:rRNA from 1 species